ensembl:lncRNA
GUCAAAACGUGCCGGUUUAUUCCAAAUUUCUGCCUGGGCCUUUAUGCACUAAUGAUUUUGCAAUAUCACACAUGGGUUAUUUGAAGAGUAUCAGCCCAGUGAUUUAUGGAGGCUUCCAAGUGUUGAUGCCUCUCCUUGCAUAAUAUUAAACCACACACACACACACGCACGCACAGACAUUCAAAUCACAACCAAACUCAUCAGAAAAAUUUUGCCCUAAAACAGCAAGAGAAAAUAUUUCGCUUGAACUAUUAUUAACAUCAUGUCCCAGGGAAAAGUUCACUUAUUUUUUUUUUAUUUCUUUCAUACGAACAAGGGAUAAUCAACAAAAAAGGUGAAUGUUAAACUUUUGUUAAAAAAAUACAAUAAAACACAGAUUGCCAAGAAGGAUGGGGUAAGUGUGUUCAGACAAAGUGGGAGUAUUUUCAGUAUCUUGAGGGGCAUUAAUAGCAAUAUGUUGUGCAGUGUCAUAAAUAUUCUACUGAAACGUUCACCCCAAAUUGUCCGAGACACGGUCUUGCUACGUAGUCACACAGGAUACAGAAAUACGAAGUAGGGGCACGGGCAUGGGCCUGGGGUGGACGUUGCCGCAUUUGUCAGCUUUAGGGUGACUUUCACUUUGGAAAGGGGGCAAUCGUGAGUCUCCCCUUCCGUGGGCCAUCUGGGCACCCUCACUUUUUGCAGCCCCGUGGUGAGUGACAGGUAACGGUUUAGCUAGGACACCGGUGAGUGGGAGAGCGCCCCCGCUGAGGUGACCAGGGCCGGCUGGAUCCCCAGGAUUGCUGCAGUUUACAUUUGGAUUUGCGGGUAAGGGGUCUUCAUUAGCAGAGGUCACACCAGCUCACCCAAGUCCUUGUGCACCAGAACAAGAGCAGAGCACGGUACCAACCUGUUAGACCGAAGCUGCCGAUUCCACUGUCUUCUGAGCCUCUCCUGGGGGUGUGAUCACAAACACAGUGACUGCUCUGCCGAGCGCCAUCCAGCAGAAAGCCAGCUCGUAAACACACGACGCUGUGUCCUCCUCCACCCGAGUCACCGCAUCUGGCACCGUGCAACUCCCGGCUCCUCCCCAA